UACGAAGGGUGCAAGCGUUACUCGGAAUUACUGGGCGUAAAGCGUGCGUAGGUGGUUUGUUAAGUCUGUUGUGAAAGCCCCGGGCUCAACCUGGGAAUGGCAAUGGAUACUGGCAAGCUAGAGUGCGGUAGAGGGUAGUGGAAUUCCCGGUGUAGCGGUGAAAUGCGUAGAUAUCUGGAGGAACACCGGUGGCGAAGGCGGCAUCCUGGACCGAGAUUGACGCUGAUGCGCGAAAGCCAGGGGAGCAAACGGG
rnacentral:rRNA from 1 species